UCCGGCUAUUGGCCCGGAGUUGAGGGAGGCUGAGUAGCCAUUGGCUGGAAGUCCUAAAAGGAAUCUCUGCGUUCCCUCCUGAGAAGUGCGUGUGGUCAACGCUUAGAAAUGGUGCAGUGAGGGCCUUCCUGAGACCCUGCCUCUGACUGAAAGGAUUUCAAAUGCUUCAAUUUACGGUUGUAUCUUCACCCGUCAGUGCCAACCAUUUUCAGACCCGCUGGCCCAGAAACGUUUGUAAUUAAAGGCUUGUUUGAAAAUACAAAGCCGAGCAAAGUAGUUCUGUAAGACUUGCUGACUGGCUGUGUGGUCAGUUUGCAUCGUGUAGCUGCAGGCCUGGAGGCUGAGAAUUCCAAAAUCAAAGAGUCAGAAGAUUUGGUGAGAGAGAACCACAUCCUGGUUCAUAUACAGCUGUCUUCUUGCUGUGUCCUCACAGGUGGAAGGGUGAAUACUCUGUACUCCAACAAGAGUCCUGAAGAGCCAACACUCAUCCCCGAGCUGCUGCACUAUCAACCACUGUUGGCUCACAGACACAACUCUUGCUGGGAACACCUCUUGGCUGCAGGAAUCUGCUUCUGCCAAAGUUAUACUCCCUACCAGGAGACAGCCCAUAUCAAAUGAACACAAAGCUGGGCCCCUCUGCCUCAAUUUGGAACAACUCUGAAGGGUCAUCCCCCUCCUGAACUCCCCAAUGGAUGACUGAGGCCUCAGCUGAAACCUCUCUGAGGUCAGUUUCUCCACUGUUCAAUCCUACCUUCCUCACUUCCUCAGAGGUAUCUCUCUAAUAAACUUCAUCAUGCAACUCUCCAGCCCAGAAUUUGUAUGUAGGGAGCCCACUCUAAAACAAUACAUCCUACCAGGGGCACUACUGUCCUCCAACAUAAUCGUGCCAUUUACAUUGUAUGGUAAUUAUAGAAUUUAUUAUUUGUUGAAAAGGCCAGGUCUUUUGUUUUGUAGAAUUUUCCAUAUCAGGAAUCAGCUGAUUGUGUCCCUGUGUAUAUUCUUAUUCUGAUAUUUUCUGUAAACUGGUAGUAAUACUGGAGACUUAAUUAGGUUCACUGCCACUCAUUUACACCUGGUAUUCUGAAACCUUUCUUUUACUUUCCUUUUCCUACUCUGUGAAAUUUAAAUAUUACUUAUCUGACGCUAAGAAAUGAUGAAAAUCAAAGGUCCCCAGGAUCAGGAGAGAUUAUUAAUAAUUCUAACUCCCUCCCCUACUCCCAUUCCCCCAACCCCCACCCCUGCCCCAGACUCGGUAUAUGCAACCUAAAGGCCUUCCAGAUACAUACUCAAGACUGGGAACAAAUGACUGGAGGAUGUGCUUACCUCUGUUUACAGCCUUUAAACACUAAAUACCUUCCUCCCAAAGCAGAGUCUGAUGAUCUCAUUCUCAUCUAGGAAGAGAACCAAAGACAGCCAUACCAUCUCUGAUUUAUUUGCAUGAAGAAUUCCACGUUGUUGCUAAUUUUAAAAGCCAUCCUGGCUUUCUUCUGUCAAAUGGUUUGAUUGUGGAUCGCAUUCUUUCACCAACAGCUGGUGUAUUCAAUUAAUCAACAUGCAUUUAUCAAGCACCUGCUGUGUGAUCAACGUCAUUCUUGGAGAAUUCAUGCUGAUUAAAUUCUCUGUAAAACAAUUAAGAAGCUGUAUCUUGUUUCUGCUACCCCCAGGUCCCACCCCCGAUUCCCACCAAUGCAUUACAAAAUCAAAUAGAUGCUCUUUUUGUAUCAAUUUACUGUUUUGAAUUAUCUACAUCCUGCUCCAUUCUGUUGAGAGUUGAUAGCACCCUGGACAAUUAUGAUUUUUCUAAGGUAGACAAGGCAGUUUUGCAUAAAUAUAUAUUCCUCUCCAUAAUUAUGUUCUUUUGUGUAUCCCUUUUUAAAGAAAUUUGCUAUGAGUUUUUGUUCAUUCUAUUUUUUUUAUUAAUGUCAUUUCAAGUAACAGAAACCAGAUUGAGCUGGCUCAAGGGAAAAUAAAAACUUAUUGGAAACACAUUAGGCUCUCUCACGGAAUCCAAAGAAGAACUGAACCACCAACCAGGCCUCUGGAAGGGCAGAAGACAGGGAAGCUCUGGGGACCCUGACAACAGCUGCUCACGAACGGUCUUUUUGGAAUUCUGCCACUAACAAGACUCAGAGCCAAACUUCUCCCAUCUCUGUGUAUCUCAGUUCAAAAUUCAAAUUCCUGGGAGGGAGAAUCUGAUUGACUGAGCUGUGGUCAGAAGGCUGCUGCUGUUCCAAUGAAGUGCAGCCGGGAGGCAAGGUCACAUGCUCUAUAUCCACACUGUCCAGUACAGGAGCCAUGAGCCACGUGUGGCUAUGGAGCACUGGAAAUGUGGCUAGGACACUGAGGAGCAGAAUUUUUCAUUUUAUUUAAUUGCUGUUAACUUAAAAUUUAAAACUGAAACAAUAUGAAAUAUUUUCCCAUUACAUACAACUUUAUUUUUUUGGUAGAACUUCAUUUCACUUGUUAAAAUUU